CGGGGGGGCGCAAGCGUUAUUCGGAAUCACUGGGCGUAAAGAGCGCGUAGGCGGGUCUCUUAAGUCAGAUGUGAAAGCCCGGGGGCUCAACCCCGGAAGUGCAUUUGAAACGAAGGGACUUGAGUAUGGGAGAGGGAAGUGGAAUUCCUGGUGUAGCGGUGAAAUGCGUAGAUAUCAGGAGGAACACCGGUGGCGAUGGCGACUUCCUGGACCAAUACUGACGCUGAGGCGCGAAGGCGUGGGGAGCAAACAGGAUUAGAUACCCUGGUAGUCCACGCAGUAAACGUUGAACACUAGGUGUAGCGGGUAUUGACCCCUGCUGUGCCGCAGCUAACGCAUUAAGUGUUCCGCCUGGGGAGUACGGCCGCAAGGCUA
rnacentral:rRNA from 1 species